UCNCUCAGACUCAGCAGGUGUAUUCCAGG
rnacentral:piRNA from 1 species